rnacentral:snRNA from 1 species
AGAUGUGAGGGCAACCUGGCUGAGACAUCUGUCACCCCACUGAUGUCCCCUUCCUCCCUCACGGUUCAUGCGCGUCCCUCCCAGAGCUGUGUGCUCAGUUGAAAAGGACAGCUUUCCCCGAAUAGAGACGGACCAGUCUCUGGCCAAAAGUACACGAGUAGCUGUGCUCCCCUGCUAGAACCUCCAAACAAGCUCUCAAGGGCCAAAGUAGAUCUGAGAGACCUAGCUCCUCACCCAUUCUCACUUUGGCCAAUUUGA